rnacentral:rRNA from 1 species
UACGUAGGGCGCAAGCGUUGUCCGGAAUUAUUGGGCGUAAAGAGCUCGUAGGUGGUUUGUCGCGUUGUUCGUGAAAACUCACAGCUCAACUGUGGGCGUGCGGGCGAUACGGGCAGACUAGAGUACUGCAGGGGAGACUGGAAUUCCUGGUGUAGCGGUGGAAUGCGCAGAUAUCAGGAGGAACACCGGUGGCGAAGGCGGAUCUCUGGGCCAUUACUGACGCUGAGGAGCGAAAGCGUGGGGAGCGAACAGG